CGUAGCUCAGUUGGAUAGAGCAUCGCUUUCCUAAAGCGUCGUCAGCACCGCCCCACUAUCGCCCCUGAGGGCUCAGAAUCGGCGAUUCUGGGCCA
rnacentral:tRNA from 1 species